UGCCCAGCAACUCCUAUCCCUACCUCCUCGUGGUACUGGCCGGGGUACGAGUAACCUUGGGGAAGAUCGGGUAACCAACCCCCGGUGGGAACUUUGGUCGUAUGCUGACAGAAAAGG
rnacentral:ribozyme from 1 species